CGACUGCUGGUGGGCGCCAGUGGUCAAUGGUGUUUUGACCACAUCAUUCUACUGUGCUCUACUGAUGGCAUGUGCUCGCGCAUUUUAUUUCAUACACUGAGAAAAAGUAAUAUUAUUCAGGACCCAACCCUUGACCAAAGAGCAUUUCUGUGAGCUUUGGAAGAGGAACAAGUGGUAUUGCGAAAAACCGGUGCACCGUUUCAGCAGAUAAAUACGCAUCAUACUAUUCAACCCCGCGGCCAAUGGCGACUAGCGCAAUAGUUGAGAGGUACCAGGAAAAGAAGGGGAUGCUUUCGAGACAACUAUUCAAUGCAAGAUCUAUAGCCCUGUUCUGGUGGGCGACAAAUACCAAAGAAGACGGAUUGACGAGCUAUAAGAGCUUUAUAAUGACAUGGACAUAGUUACGCACAAUAAAAUAUUGCGCUGGCUGGACAGUUCGUGCGCAUGGAAGAUUAUGAUCCGGUGAACAGAUUCUUUGACAUUGGAAGGGAUAAAUACAGAACGACCUGUCUGCACUUGGGACGAACAACCGUUGUAACUUCGCAAAGUAUGUUGUGUCAGACGACAAUUAAACCUAGGAUGUUCUGGAACCCACCUGGGAGGUGUGAUCACAGGACGGGGUUAAGGCUUUCGAUGCUUUCCCCUCGGAAAAAAAAUCUCUGCACAUUCAAAUACAGCCAGCGAAUGAACACAU